CUUUGAGACCACCCCAGCAGGUCUGGAGAAUCUUAUUGCAGUCUGGGGAAGGGAGGAGUCUAUGCUGCCCACUCUGCCUUGGAUGGUGGGGUGUUCAAUAAUAAAAGGUCCAGCUGCCGGGACAAUACUCAGCCAUGAUCAGGACUGCCCAGCUUCUGGCCUAGACGAAGCUUGCUUCUGGAUGGUUGAGCCACCUGGCAUGAGAAUGAAGAGAAAAGGGGACGUUAUGAGAUCAAGAGUGACCACAGUCCAGGAGUUAAGAAACUGGUCACAGUUGAAUCUUCAGGAAGAGACUUAUGAAGAGGAUGUAACAAUUGUCCAUUUUCUUGUUGGGGAGCCAGGAAAAUUCCAUUAGGGAAUUUGCAGCGGUUCCAGUAACCUGGAGCAUCUUCUGCAUUGAAUUGCAGAUGCUAGCUGAUUUGCUAUUGAAUAGCAUGGCCUCAGUGGGGAAUGUCCCCUAGUUUGCAUUUCUACAGAACUAAAUAUUUGAAUAGGCCUGCUCCAGCGCAGAGGGUCGGGUGUGUAAGUAACAAGUGAGGACAGAGAGAGUUAGGAGGGAUCAAACAGAGGGGUCUAACAGAGAGAGAAAUGGCCUCAUGGUCAGGGAAGCAUGGUUAGGAAACAGCCAGUGAAGGGACCAGCUCCCCUUUCGGCAGCCGUAACGGCUGAACACGUGCUCUAUGGCCUUGUCCUAGACACUAGAAAGUCAGAUGCCUGCCUCGUGACAAGGAACCAAUCAGAAGUUAGCUGGUGGUACUCUGGGUGUACUUUACAGACAAGCACACAGCAAUGACGCAGAGCAUAGCAACCACCCUGGGAGGG
rnacentral:lncRNA from 1 species